rfam:Triticum aestivum genome assembly, contig: Triticum_aestivum_CS42_TGACv1_scaffold_288661_4AL
AAUAUACUCCCUCCCUCCGAAAAAUUUUGUCAUCAAAAUGGAUAAAAAGAGAUGUAUCUAAAACUAAAAUACAUUUAGAUACAUCCUCUUUUAUCCAUUGUGAUGACAAGUAUUUUCGGACGGAGGGAGUACAUA